UCCAGCCGCCGGCCCCUGAGCGGCCGCCCCGAGCCUGCCCGGGCGCCUUCUCUCCCGUUCGCCCCGAUUCUGCUUUCCCCCCGGUCUGCUUCGGGUUGCUGUCUCCCGCACCCCACGUUCUCAGCCAGCCGGACCAGGGUGGUGUGGAGUGGGGGUGGAGCUGUUCCUUGUACCCACUGUCCCACCUGCCCCCUCUAACCCUCCCCCAGCAAGCGCCGAGAGAUGAGAACUAAAGGCUAGAGAGACCCAGAAAGGUGAGGUUGCCCCAGGCGCGGGGGUCCUCAAAACCAGUAAUCCUCAUGUUGGUGCCGGGAGAGGCUCCAAGGUAGGGAAACUGAGGCUUAGAAAAGGACGUUGGCCAAGGUCACCAGGCAGGGCCAAGCACAGAUCUGCAGGAGACUCUACCGGCCUGUGGCUGACACCAGCAGUUGACUGGAUCCCACACGGGGCUCUAGUCCUGGAUUCUUUCUGAGCCCUUGCCACUCAGCUUGCAGAGCAGAAGCCAAGGUCUAUCUCAUGUCCCCAGGGGCAGUGAGGAGGAGACAGACGACCCAGAGCCUGUUGGUCACAUGGCUGCAGCCCUCCCGAGAGAGAAGAGCAGCAGGGCUUCACCAAGUCCAGACGCUGACCCCUUCCUUGCACGAGCAGCAGAGUUCCUGCCCUGCCUAAGACAGGGCCCUUCCUUCUGGGCACAGGAGGCCUCUCUUUUCAAGAUAACACACUCCCUGGCUGGACCUGCACUCUGAAGCCCGCUGCGGCUUGCCACCCACGUUCAGCACCAGGGAGAGCGCCCAGCAGAGCUCUGGCAGGCCCUGAGCUGAAAGGAAACGGUGGAGGACCCAGGAGAGCCUGCCAAGACAACCUGAACCAGUGACCGGAGGAAGCCAAACUUGAAGGAAGCUGCAUCUGGAUUGGGCCUUGGGGCCCCAGGAUGGCCCCUCCUUGGCAGACACUGGACCUUAGGUUGCAGGGAGGAACCAUAGCGGCUGAACACCCUCCUGAGCACAGCACAACUCUGCGUGCUGCUGUGCGACCUUGGGCGAGUCCUUCUCCGUCUCCAAGCCUGCUUCGUCUCUAGACCGGGAUGGUACCCCAGCUCCGGGCACAAGCACUGUUGAUUCCAGUCAGAUCCCGCCUCUCCUGAUCCCUGCUCCACCUCACUGCCAUGGCAUUCGGCACGUCCUUCCUCAUUUCUAGGACUUGCAGGGCAUACUGAGACCACCCUCCUCUUCAAUGCCCUGCUGCUGGGAGGUCAGGCCUGGGACUGUCCCACCAGACUCUGAUGUUCCCUGGACAGUGCAGGUCAUCCUGGACCUGUCCCAUGCUGCUGAGUCCACAAGAGGAUUGUUGUCCACAUCUGGGUAACUCAGAGAAAGGACUUCUGUCCUGUGGGGAUAGAGUGGUGUUCCUCUGAGGCUAAGUGCAGAAUGAACCCAGGCAUGGGAGGUAAUGGGGCUCAAAACAGCUGUGAGAAGUCACAUGGGCCCCGAGCCUAUUCCCUCCCAUCAUACAAAUGAGCAGAACACACAGGACCCUUCGGGGCCUCCCAUGAUGCCUCAGAGGACCUAAGCAGGUGCUGUGGCAGCCUUUGGGCUAUGGUGUACACAGUGUCCAGGCCUCUCCUGGACUGCCUCAAGGAUUAAAGCCUGACAAAGAAUGUAAAGGCUGCUGGAUGCAGUGGUGCAUGCCUGUAACCCUAGUACUGAGAUCAAUCCAUGUGAGUCUAUUUAAUAGGUAAUAAGGAUUUAUUAAGACAUAAAUUGAGGAAAUACAUUCAUGAAUACAAAACGGAGUAGACAGCUGAAGUUGCCCUCUGAUCUGAGCAGCAGUGAAUCCACCUCUCAGGCAGGAGCAGGGAGCAAGGGCAUGUGACCCUUGUCCCUCUCCUUUUAAGAGGUCAGGUACAACAGCAGGAAGCAUUGCCUCCUUCA